rnacentral:rRNA from 1 species
AUUGAACGCUAGCGGGAUGCUUUACACAUGCAAGUCGAACGGCAGCGCGGACUUCGGUCUGGCGGCGAGUGGCGAACGGGCGAGUAAUUUAUCGGAACGUGCCCAGUCGCGGGGAUAACUACGCGAAAGCGUAGCUAAUACCGCAAACGCCCAACGGGGGAAAGCACAUGAUCGUAAGACCUUACACUAUUUUAGCUGCCGAUAUCGGAUUAGCUAGUUGGUUAGGUAACGGCUCACAAAGGCGACGAUCCGAAGCAGGUUUGAGUGGACGACCAGCCACACUGGGACUGAGACACGGCCCAGACUCCUACGGGAGGCAGAAGUGGGGAAUUUUGGACAAUGGGGGCAACCCUGCUCCAGCAAUCCCGGUUGUGCGAUGAAGGCCUUCGGGUUUUAAAGCACUUUUGGCAGGAAAGAAACGUCGCGGGCUAAUACCCCGUGGAACUGACGGUACCUUAAGAAUAAGCACCGGCUAACUACGUG